rnacentral:rRNA from 1 species
ACUCAAAUGAAUAGACGGGGGCCCGCACAAGCAGCGGAGCGUGUGGUUUAAUUCGAUGCGACGCGCAGAACCUUACCCGGGCUUGACAUGCGGCGGCGCCAGGGGUAACGCCCUGUUCCUUCGGGACCGCCGCGCAGGUGCUGCAUGGCUGUCGUCAGCUCGUGCCGUGAGGUGUUGGGUUAAGUCCCCUAACGAGCGCAACCCCCGGGGCCCGUUGCACGCUCUCGGGCCCGACUGCCGCGCGCAACGCGGAGGAAGGUGGGGAUGACGUCAAGUCAGCACGGCCCCGACGCCCGGGGCGACACACACGCUACAAUGGCCGCGACAACGGGCGAUGCGAAGCCGCGAGGCGGAGCCAAUCCCAGCAAACGCGGUCGUAGUUCGGAUGGCAGGCUGCAACCCGCCUGCCUGAAGCCGGAGUUGCUAGUAACCGCGGGUCAGCACACCGCGGUGAAUACGUUCCCGGGCCUUGUACACACCGCCCGU